UUUCCGUAGGUGAACCUGCGGAAGGAUCAUUACUGUGUUUUGAAUGAAGUUGUUCUGGUCCUUCGGGGCAAGUGAACGCUUCUCUCAAUCCAUCUUACACCUGUGCACCUAUCGGGGAAGACUUGGAUCUAAGUUGGGUUACGACGGCGAUCUACAGUCUCCUCUUUAUACCAAAUAACAGUUUUAGAAAGUCUUUUUUGCUUGAUGCAAACUUAAAUAAAUACAACUUUCAGCAACGGAUCUCUUGGCUCUC
rnacentral:misc_RNA from 1 species